rnacentral:pre_miRNA from 1 species
AAUGGAAUUGCUGGGUGAUGUGAUAAUCCCAUAUUUAUGUUUUUGAGUAACUACCAGAUUGUUUUCCAUAAUGACUACCAAUUUACCUUCCCACUAGCAAU